CAGCAGCCGCCGCGGUAAUACGAAGGGGGCUAGCGUUGUUCGGAAUUACUGGGCGUAAAGCGCACGUAGGCGGAUAUUUAAGUCAGGGGUGAAAUCCCGCAGCUCAACUGCGGAACUGCCUUUGAUACUGGGUAUCUUGAGUAUGGAAGAGGUUAGUGGAAUUGCGAGUGUAGAGGUGAAAUUCGUAGAUAUUGGGAAGAACACCGGUGGCGAAGGCGGCAACCUGGCUCAUUACUGACGCUGAGGCGCGAAAGCGUGGGGAGCAAACAGGAUUAGAUACCCCGGUAGUCCCUGUCUCUUAUAC
rnacentral:rRNA from 1 species